GACGAACUUUGGCGGCGUGCUUAACACAUGCAAGUCGAACGGAAAGGCCCUGCUUUUGUGGGGUGCUCGAGUGGCGAACGGGUGAGUAACACGUGAGUAACCUGCCCUUGACUUUGGGAUAACUUCAGGAAACUGGGGCUAAUACCGGAUAGGAGCUCCUGCUGCAUGGUGGGGGUUGGAAAGUUUCGGCGGUUGGGGAUGGACUCGCGGCUUAUCAGCUUGUUGGUGGGGUAGUGGCUUACCAAGGCUUUGACGGGUAGCCGGCCUGAGAGGGUGACCGGCCACAUUGGGACUGAGAUACGGCCCAGACUCCUACGGGAGGCAGCAGUGGGGAAUAUUGCACAAUGGGCGGAAGCCUGAUGCAGCAACGCCGCGUGCGGGAUGACGGCCUUCGGGUUGUAAACCGCUUUCGCCUGUGACGAAGCGUGAGUGACGGUAAUGGGUAAAGAAGCACCGGCUAACUACGUGCCAGCAGCCGCGGUGAUACGUAGGGUGCGAGCGUUGUCCGGAUUUAUUGGGCGUAAAGGGCUCGUAGGUGGUUGAUCGCGUCGGAAGUGUAAUCUUGGGGCUUAACCCUGAGCGUGCUUUCGAUACGGGUUGACUUGAGGAAGGUAGGGGAGAAUGGAAUUCCUGGUGGAGCGGUGGAAUGCGCAGAUAUCAGGAGGAACACCAGUGGCGAAGGCGGUUCUCUGGGCCUUUCCUGACGCUGAGGAGCGAAAGCGUGGGGAGCGAACAGGCUUAGAUACCCUGGUAGUCCACGCUGUAAACGGUGGGUACUAGGUGUGGGGUCCAUUCCACGGGUUCCGUGCCGUAGCUAACGCUUUAAGUACCCCGCCUGGGGAGUACGGCCGCAAGGCUAAAACUCAAAGGAAUUGACGGGGCCCCGCACAAGCGGCGGAGCAUGCGGAUUAAUUCGAUGCAACGCGUAGAACCUUACCUGGGUUUGACAUGGAUCGGGAGUGCUCAGAGAUGGGUGUGCCUCUUUUGGGGUCGGUUCACAGGUGGUGCAUGGCUGUCGUCAGCUCGUGUCGUGAGAUGUUGGGUUAAGUCCCGCAACGAGCGCAACCCUUGUUCACUGUUGCCAGCACGUUAUGGUGGGGACUCAGUGGAGACCGCCGGGGUCAACUCGGAGGAAGGUGGGGAUGACGUCAAGUCAUCAUGCCCCUUAUGUCCAGGGCUUCACGCAUGCUACAAUGGCUGGUACAGAGAGUGGCGAGCCUGUGAGGGUGAGCGAAUCUCGGAAAGCCGGUCUCAGUUCGGAUUGGGGUCUGCAACUCGACCUCAUGAAGUCGGAGUCGCUAGUAAUCGCAGAUCAGCAACGCUGCAGUGAAUACGUUCCCGGGGCU
rnacentral:rRNA from 1 species